rnacentral:tRNA from 1 species
GAGGCUAUAGCUCAGAGGUAGACCGUGUGUUUAGCAUGUAUGAGGUCCUGGGUUCAAUCCCCAGUAUCUCUA